rnacentral:lncRNA from 1 species
UUGUCCCCUUUGUGAUGCUAGGCUCUUAAAAUGGAGCGGGGGGGGGGGGCUUUAUCUAAUUUAUUAAGAGAGAGAAUACAUCGCUUCAGAAGGUGAAAGCUUUUUGAAGGGGCCAUCCUGAGAGGGGCCACCCAUGCCUUGUUGGAUCCCAGUCCACGCCCCCUGCAUUUCUGUGUGUGUUCUUGUAUACCGGCUUAUUUUGUCUCCGAGAUGAGUCUUUCGUUUUAGGUUGAGUGUUUGGGAAUACCUGUCUGUCCUUUUGCUGGCACGUGUCUUUGCAUCUCUCUUCGGGGCUGGAGUCUGACGGCUGGGUGCUGUCGAAGGCUGACAGCCGGCUGUUCCAGCCUGGAAUGACUACAUUUGCCCACAGUGUGUGUGCACACACACGGUUAUUUAUACUCCCAGUGGAUGGGGACACACAAGACUGUAUAUAUAGUGUGUAUACAUGUAUACAUGUGCGUUUUGUGUAUGUUCCUAGUGUGUGGUGUGUGCACAUGCACCCCCCAGAAUAGGGCUGAGGGUGCCAAAAAUCCUUUAGCACCCUCAGGACCAGACCCUAUCUCUGAAUCUGAUGUCGACCAAGGUAGUGAAGGGCCUCAUGACCCAUCACCCUGGCCCUAGCUGACAUGUUGCUGAGGCAGAAAAACAGCCCUCAAGCCAUCUGUGUAGAAGAAGGAGCCCCCAGAUACUUCAGCUAGCGAGCACGGUGGAGUCCAGAUGUCUUGCUUUUCCCCGUCCUUAGGGAAUGAAUGUGGAUGUGGAAUGAGGUUAUCUAUUAGUAAGUUGGGUUGCACUGAAACUCUGUGUUGUUUAUGGAUGAGUGUGUGUUCUUUAGCUCAGACCAGGGUGGUUUACCUAGAUGGUAUGUAAUUAGGCACCACCACCCUCUCCCAAAAUUCUUGACUGGAAAGGAAAGACCAAGUAUUUUGUUAACGGCAGGCUGUGCUGUAUGUGUCGUGACUCCGAGCCUGAACUAUUUUAUUUAUUUAAGACUAUUUUAAUUUCUCUUUCCUCUUCUCCCCCUCUGCGUGGCUGCAGAGUGUCUCCGUUAGAGUAGACGGAUGGCAGGAAUAGAUUUGUAGUCCCUUCAGGAAGUUAGCAGCCUGGAGCUGGGCGUGGGUUCCCCUCAUCCUCGUUGCCUUCAACAGAAAGUGAAAAGUUUUUCGUUUUGGGUUUUGUUUUUUUACAUAUAGCAAAAGACCAAAUUAGCUGUAUAGUCUUGGAUACAGACAAUAAGAAUUACUCUAGCUCUCCUAGCACAUAGGGCCCCGUGGGGAUUCCAUGUUUAGCACAGUGCCUGGCUCAUAGUAAGCCUGGUGAAUGUUCAAUAUUGAUAUUAGUAGUAUAUCAUAAAACUUGAGAGAUAAAGAGCUGCGCUCACCCCCACCCCCGUUGAUCCCGUUGAUUCAGACAUGAUGGUUACAUAAAAAUCUCAUUGAGUCGAUCAGAUGCUAUAGUAAUUAACUGUUUCAAAUGUUUAAGCUCUGUGCCUACCCUGCUCGAUGGAAUUCUAGUGUUUUCUCCAAUGCACUGAGUAAUUGGAAAAUGUGUCAGUCUUCAGCACUCCAUGAAACAAGGCUGAGUUUAUUACCUUGAACCACCAAUAUGUUCUGGAACAUUCCAGGGGUUUCUUUGAGGAACUUUUCAAGCUCAAAAUUAAAAGUUCUCUCACAAGUUGCACUCCUUGAAUUAGAGUUUAAUUUUUAACUCCGCUAUGACACAGUAAUAGAAUCUUCCAUUUGUUUAAGGGAAAGAGGGAACAACUAAAUUUACAUUCUCCUCUGCUGCCCCCUGCUGGACAGGGUGGCUCCCAGCAGGCUGGUUACCUCUGCCACAUUCCCAUCCUAUCCAAGAUUAAUCCCAUGGCUGGUCCCUAAAAAUUAAAUAGAUCUACCACCACCACCCCCAGAGGAGCCAUAUGAAACCCAACGGCAGGGAUUUUGACCGCUUUCAAAAGUGGACUCCCUGGUCACUUAAAUACCAGUUUGCUGGUAUUUUUUUCUUGUGGCUUUAGCCUCUACCCUGGUAGAACAACUGUGGGCGAGUUGCCAGUGUGGGAUGAAGAGGUUUGCUUUCCAAUUCCUCUCCCUUCUCGGCCGACCAGUGACUUUACAGUUCACGGGAUUAAAGCGUUGCAUUUACCUUUCUCAGAGCUUCCCCAACCCCACACACACACACACACACACACACACACACACCACCCAUGGGACACAUGCUGGUGUGGUGGGUAGUUGCCCGUGGAAGGCAGCAUGGGUAGGAGGUACACAGGGAGCAUCGCGUGAGAGCGGGCCAGGAGUGUGAACACAGGUCUGCAGCACCCACGGGAGCCGGAAUGCAGCAGAUACGGAAAGAAGUUUAUUUGCUUAGAGCCCAGUCCACGUAUUAAAGAAAAUGGCGUAACCACAACGCCAAAGGACAUGGUGACAUCCCUUCCACUGUCGCUCCUGUCACAACCUUGAUGUUAGGUUCCUGGCCGUUCACGUCUGUGUCUUCAGAUGGAUCCUUUUUCUACUGUCACUUCUAGGGUUAAGUCACAGGAUCCUGCAAAUGAAGUGUCACUGUCCCCGAGUUUACUGUACAAGGCAAAGAAAGGACACUACUUUGUUUUCCUGUGUUGUAGAGAAACUAGGGAGAACUUUAUUUUUCAAUAAACUUUUCUCGUG